rnacentral:rRNA from 1 species
GGGGAAUAUUGCGCAAUGGGGGAAACCCUGACGCAGCAACGCCGCGUGAAGGAUGAAGGCUUUCGGGUUGUAAACUUCUUUGAUGAGGGAAGAAUAAAUGACGGUACCUCAAAAACAAGCCACGGCUAACUACGUGCCAGCAGCCGCGGUAAUACGUAGGUGGCGAGCGUUGUCCGGAAUUACUGGGUGUAAAGGGCGUGUAGGCGGGAAUGUAAGUCAGAUGUGAAAUUCCGAGGCUCAACCUCGGCGCUGCAUCUGAAACUAUAUUUCUUGAGUGCUGGAGAGGAAAGCGGAAUUCCUAGUGUAGCGGUGAAAUGCGUAGGUAUUAGGAGGAACACCAGUGGCGAAGGCGGCUUUCUGGACAGUAACUGACGCUGAGGCGCGAAAGCGUGGGGAGCAAAC